rnacentral:miRNA from 1 species
CGCAGAUCAAUUUCAUGUCAACAUAAAUAUUUUUUUUCAUUGAUUAUAAAAUAAUGACUUUUUAGUAUUUUAUAUUAAAAUAAUAAU